rnacentral:lncRNA from 1 species
UAAUAAUAAUAAUAAUAAUAAUAAUAAUCAUCAUCAUCAUCAUCAAUAGCAAUAAAUCGGAAUCGAUGGUGGCCAUCAUCAAACAAUGUCGAGAUCAUCAUCAACAUCGUGAAGACGGAUAGUGAAGAUUGCAGUGGAGAUGAGCGAUGAAGAAGAUAACAAAGAUCAACGACGAUGAUAACGUGAAUAGUGAUAAUGACAACGUGACCGGCGACAAUGAAGAUAAUGAUGGUGUUAGCCUAUAUGGCUAUAAAUAUUGAUUUU